GUGGCCUGUCAGACUCCUCCCCCUCCCAGCUCUGCUCCAGACUCUCAGCUGUGACUCAUCACCUCAUCCACGCACCUGCUACUUAAGGAGACUCACCUCAAGCAUUCUUCGCCAGAUCGUUAAACCUGAUGGUCUGCCUUUCCCACGAGAGUCUCCCGAGUCCUCAGCCGACGCGAGCAGAAGCUGAAUCCCUCACGCUCCUCAAGAACUCCAGCCACGCCACCGUCAAGAACUCCAGCCACGCCUCCGCCAAGAACUCCAGCCACGUUGCAGUCAAAAGACUCCAUUCACGCCACUGCUGUGAGCUCCGGUCACGCCGCUGUAAGAUCUCCGUGCUCACCUUGGUCUACGAGCCGCUGUCAAGCUGCACGCCGCUCUCCCCUACUGGAUCCGCUAGCCCCUUCAAAAUAAAACUAGUUACUUACCUUUUCA